rnacentral:rRNA from 1 species
GGACUACAGGGGUAUCUAAUCCUGUUUGCUACCCACGCUUUCGUGCCUCAGUGUCAAUGUCGGACCAGUUGGUCGCCUUCGCCACCGGUGUUCUUCCCAAUAUCUGCGAAUUUCACCUCUACACUGGGAGUUCCACCAACCUCUUCCGAAUUCCAGACAGGCAGUCUAAAGAGCAGUUCCAGGGUUAAGCCCUGGGAUUUCACUCCUUACUUACCAAUCCACCUACGCACGCUUUAAGCCCAGUGAUUCCGAACAACGCUCGCUCCCUUCGUAUUACCGCGGCUGCUGGCAC